UACGUAGGGGGCAAGCGUUGUCCGGAAUUAUUGGGCGUAAAGAGCUCGUAGGCGGUUUGUCGCGUCUGCUGUGAAAACCUAAGGCUCAACCUUGGGCUUGCAGUGGGUACGGGGCAGACUAGAGUGCGGUAGGGGUGACUGGAAUUCCUGGUGUAGCGGUGGAAUGCGCAGAUAUCAGGAGGAACACCGAUGGCGAAGGCAGGUCACUGGGCCGCAACUGACGCUGAGG
rnacentral:rRNA from 1 species